rnacentral:rRNA from 1 species
UCUUGUGAAAUCUAAUGGCUUAACCAUUAAACUGCUUGGGAAACUGAUAGUCUAGAGUGAGGGAGAGGCAGAUGGAAUUGGUGGUGUAGGGGUAAAAUCCGUAGAUAUCACCAAGAAUACCCAUUGCGAAGGCGAUCUGCUGGAACUCAACUGACGCUAAGGCGCGAAAGCGUGGGGAGCAAACAGGAUUAGAUACCCUGGUAGUCCACGCCCUAAACGAUGUACACUAGUUGUUGGGAUGCUAGUCAUCUCAGUAAUGCAGCUAACGCAUUAAGUGUACCGCCUGGGGAGUACGGUCGCAAGAUUAAAACUCAAAGGAAUAGACGGGGACCCGCACAAGCGGUGGAGCAUGUGGUUUAAUUCGAAGAUACGCGAAGAACCUUACCUGGGCUUGAUAUCCUAAGAACCUUAUAGAGAUAUGAGGGUGCUAGCUUGCUAGAACUUAGAGACAGGUGCUGCACGGCUGUCGUCAGCUCGUGUCGUGAGAUGUUGGGUUAAGUCCCGCAACGAGCGCAACCCACGUAUUUAGUUGCUAACGGUUCGGCCGAGCACUCUAAAUAGACUGCCUUCGUAAGGAGGAGGAAGGUGUGGACGACGUCAAGUCAUCAUGGCCCUUAUGCCCAGGGCGACACACGUGCUACAAUGGCAUAUACAAUGAGACGCAAUACCGCGAGGUGGAGCAAAUCUAUAAAAUAUGUCCCAGUUCGGAUUGUUCUCUGCAACUCGAGAGCAUGAAGCCGGAAUCGCUAGUAAUCGUAGAUCAGCCAUGCUACGGUGAAUACGUUCCCGGGUCUUGUACUCACCGCCCGUCACACCAUGGGAGUUGAUUUCACUCGAAGCCGGAAUACUAAACUAGUUACCGUCCACAGUGGAAUCAGCGACUGGGGUGAAGUCGUAACAAGGUAACCGUAGGAGAACCUGCGGUUGGAUCACCUCCUUUCUA